UACGUAGGGAGCAAGCGUUAUCCGGAAUUAUUGGGUGUAAAGGGUGCGCAGACGGGAGUCUAAGUUAGUUGUGAAAUCCCUCGGCUCAACUGAGGAACUGCAACUAAAACUGGACAUCUUGAGUGCAGGAGAGGAAAGUGGAAUUCCUAGUGUAGCGGUGAAAUGCGUAGAUAUUAGGAGGAACACCAGUGGCGAAGGCGACUUUCUGGACUGUAACUGACGUUGAGGCACGAAAGUGUGGGGAGCAAACAGG
rnacentral:rRNA from 1 species